UAUUCUUAGUGAGCAUUGCUCACAGUACCUCUUGUUUUAACAGGUUUUUUUUUUUUUUACAAUAACUAUCGGAAAAGACUAACAAAAUUUAUGUUCCUAUCAUGCAUAAAUCUAAAUAAAUCAUUGAUUUUGCAAAAUCUGAUGACAUUAUAGGAGGGUGGAAUUACUUUAAGUUAUGUUUAGUGCUGUGUGUAUAUAAACAUGCACUCAUAUAAUUAUAUCUUCCCUCUUCCAGGGGGAGACAUAUUGUAUUUGUACUUUCUGUCCGUCCUUCCUUCUGUCACAAAAUCUUGUGAACGCUUCUCCACCUAUAUGGCUUAUCAGAUAGACUUGAAACUUUGUACAAUGCUUCAUUGUCAUUUGCAGAUGUGAAUAUUGUUGGGACGGGAGGAUCCAAUUGUUUUCCUAAGAGUUAUAGUGGAUCUAAGAGGGGUGGAAGAUGUAAAAUAGCUUAUGAACUCUUCUCCUCCCAUAUGGCUUAUUGGAUAGACUUGAAACUUUGUACAAUGCUUAAUUGUCAUUUGUAGAUGUGCAUAUUGUCGGAAUGAGAGGAUCCAAAGUUUUUCCUAAAAGAUAUAGUGGAUCUAAAAGGGGUGGAGGAUGUUAAAAUACCUUGUGAACACUUCUCCUAUAUGGCUUAUCUGAUAGACUUGAGAAUUUGUACAAUGCUUCAAUGCCAUUUGUAGAUGUGCAAGUUGUAGGGACAGGAGGAUCCAAUUGCUAUCCUUAAAGUUAAAGUGGAUCUGAGGGGUGUAGGGUAUAAAAUAGUUUGUGAACGCUUCUCCUCCUAUAUGGCUUAUCAGAGUUCAUGUCUAUCUUCCUGCCCAUGCUUUCUCCUCCAUACUAUUCAAUACAUUAAGGGGGAUGUUUCCUAUAUUUUACGAAUUAAUUGGUUGAUUGACAACAAACUUGGUACACUUGUACAGCAUAUAUAAGGAGUAGAUGACCCCUAUUGAUUCUUAGGUCACAUGGUCAGUCCACUCUUGACAUAGGAAGAUAUUGUCUGCUCAAUAUUUUGAAUUGGUGAUACUACUAUCAAUUAAAUGAGGCACGGGUAUAACCCUUUCAAUUUUGCAACUUGGGGGGCAUAUGUGUUUUAGAAACAUCUCUUGUGUUGUAUUAUAUGAAUUACAGGUUUUAGUGUGCUCAGUUUAGAGAAUAGCAUAAAAGUAUUUGAUAAUUAAAUAUCUUGCAGAUUGGCAGUUUACUCCAUGCACCGACAGGAAUGAUAAACUGUGAUAUUCGUAAAUGGAACUGGGACACGUUCUAAAUAUACUCAGGGACAGAAUGAUGUGCAGCAAGGCUCGUCAUGGAAUGGCAGCUCACUACCUGCCCCUAGUGAUGUUAAAAGAGGCCAUUGUUCUCAUUUGUUCCAAAACAGGAAUGGCAUAUGAGGAGGCCAACAGAAGAUGCACCUCCACUGAGUGUGCACUCACAAAACGAAUAAAUUAUUAUUAUUUCUUUUGUUUGUAAUUGUAUAUUGUCAACAAGGUCAAAGGCACUUGAUCCGAUGCCAAACUUUUGCAUUUCUUUUGCUUUGUGGUAAAUUUUCUUCAGUAACAUUAACAUUGUUUAAAUUGUUUUCUUUGGAGAGUAUACAUGUACACAUGGAUUAUUUGUAUAUUAGAAUUAUAGCAUUGUUUAAUUCAACUCAUUCUUAUCAUAGAGAGGUUAUUAUAUACUGUAGGUAACGACUUGUAAAGGGUAUACUGUUUUAACUCACGUGCAAGGCAAGGCAGUAUUAUGAAACUCUGUAGUUGAUAAGGACAUAUAUCACAUAUCGAUAUGCAUAUUUACAGGAAACUCUGAUGUAUUUUAAAUCUGAACGUUAAUUUAAAAGUGGGGAGAAAUAGCAUUGGAUGAAAAAAGACACAUAUGAAGAAAAUUAUUCCAUACGUAAAUGCUUUUAAGCUCACUUGAGCUGAAAGCUCAAGUGAGCUUUUCUGAUCGCCUGUUGUUCAUUGUCUGUCCGUGAUUAAACAUUUUAUAUUUUCUCCAGAAGCACUGGGCCAAUAAUAACCAAACUUAGCCAAAAGUAUCCUUGGGUAAAGGGCUUUCGAGUUUGUUCAAAUGAAGGGCCAUGCCCUCUUCAAAGGGGAGAUGAUCACAAAAAUAGGGUGGGUCAUUUAAUUUUUUUUUUAUCAAGAACCACUGGGCCGGAAGAGCUGAAAUGUACAUGAAAGCUUCCUGACAUAGUACAGAUUCAAGUUUAUUGAAAUCAUGGCCUCCAGGGGUUGUAUGGGGCCACAAUAGAGAAUCAAAGUUUUACAUACAAUUAUUCAGGAAAAAUCUUUCAAUAUGAGCCAAGGUGGCUCAGGUGAGCGAUAUGGCCCAUGGGCCUCUUGUUCAACAUAUAGAAUAAAUAGUUAUGUUGUAUUUCCCAUGGAACAUUGAAACGUUUAAUGCGUUUACCAAUUAAUCACUGAAAGAAAGAUAAAAUUGUUGUUUCAUAUGUUUUAUGAAAACUUAAAGAUGUUUCAUUUCUUUUCAUGAAAGACCCCUUAAUUACCCAGUAAUAUAUAAUCAAUUCUUAACAGAUUAUGUAAAUUUGAUUUAUAUUAAGGAUGUUUGAUCUGAUUACCCAUCAUUAUCAAUCUGUCUAAUAUAGCCAUCAUGUGUUACUAUUGCUACGCAAUCUUGGAGCAUGAGGUAGAAUGCGAACCAGCUCUUUCAUAAGUACAUGUAUCUGGAAAAUAUUUCAAUGUCAAAGGUUACAACAAUGUAAUAAUGUAAUCAUUGUAUGUCUAAGGUCUUGAUAAUAAAACUGUUAUCUGUUCAA